AUUCUCAGGGCGGGGUGCAAGUCCCCACCGGCGGUGAUGCGGUCGCGCCCUGCGCGCCGCCAGCCCGCGAGCGCCUUCCGUGAAGGGUCAGCAGAUCCGGUGUGAUUCCGGAGCCGACGGUAACAGUCCGGAUGGAAGAGAAUG
rnacentral:ncRNA from 1 species